CACACACACACACACACAGACACGCGCGCGCGCGCACACAGGGUCACACUCAUACGCCCGCUCCAAGCACACACCACCAGACCGCAGGUCCCUAUGCCCCUGGAUGGUGAAGGCGGAUUGGGAUUUGGCAAGCGAUGCAAGAACUAUAAGUCUGGCGCUGGCCCCCGGAAGCUACUGGAGCAUCACUAGGUGUUGUCACCGGGAAGCGGGGCUGAAGGAUCGACAUUGUGAAACUGGCUGCUUAAGAAGAGCAGCAUCUCAGGUCCUAGCAUCUCAAAAGUGCUUGGAAAAUAGCUCUUUCUUGGGGAAUUGCCAACACUUACACAUAGGAUUUCUGUACUUAAAAGGUCCACCAACUUCUCCUCUUUCUACCAGCAGAGGGCAUGUUUCACAGCCCUGUCUCUUUAUGCCCAUCGACUAAAGGAUGAAUAAGAGAUACUUACAGAAAGCAACAAAAGGAAAGCUGUUAAUAAUAAUAUUUAUUCUAACCUUGUGGGGUAAACUAGCAUCUGGCGCAAACCACCAUAAAGCUCACCAUGUUAAAACUGGAACCUGUGAGGUGGUGGCGCUCCAUAGAUGUUGUAAUAAGAACAAGAUAGAAGAAAGGUCACAGACGGUCAAGUGCUCAUGCUUCCCAGGACAGGUGGCAGGCACCACAAGAGCCGCUCCUUCUUGUGUUGAUGCUUCAAUAGUGGAGCAGAAAUGGUGGUGUCACAUGCAGCCAUGUCUUGAAGGAGAGGAAUGUAAAGUUCUUCCAGACCGGAAAGGAUGGAGUUGUUCCUCGGGAAAUAAAGUGAAGACAACGAGGGCAAACGUGUAAAACUCUUCAAAGUCCGAAUGGAGAAGUAGAAAGAGAAGGUUUCUGCUGUGCCCGAUGACAAUUUUUGAUUAUUCCACAUACAAAAUAACACUCUGGCUCCACGGUAGAGCACUAGUUGUGAUGAAUUCUAGUGUUUGUCGGAUUUUAAGGAAAGGCCAGAAGUUUCGUUGAGUCAAAACCAUUCCAGAAAUGUGCUCCUGUCCUGGUUUAUUUCUCACAAAGCAGCAGGUAACCCAUUAGCUAAGGACAAAUCAAGCCAGUUCUAAGGCUGAGAACAUUAAACAUAACCCAUUUCCGGAAUGUAUUACUGAGAUCAACCAGAAGGAAGCUUUUUAUACUGUGAGGAGUAUACCCUUUGAUAAUACCCUCAUAUUUUUCCCAAUGGGAUUCUUGGCUUGCAAUUAGCAACCCUUUGAGAUCAAAACUUCUACAAAGUCAACUAAGAACUUCUUUGGGUGGUGAAGCUCUCAAAGAGGUUAGACAAUUCACACUUAUAAAUUGCACAUGCUAGAAGAAUUUAAAGUUGCAAUCCAAGGAGUUGAUACGCUGGAAGAUGAUGAAAGAGACGCUAAACUCUUGAGUUCUUGACUUCAGAUGUAAUUGCUUUUCAAGCUUCUGAAAGCAGUCUACAAAAUACUGGCUGGUCCCCCAUUCCUGGACUCUAUGUUUCAUUGGCUGAUGGGACUGUACACACCUUUAAUAAUCUUUCUUCUGUAGAACUUGUCCUCUGGCAUGGCAUACAUUUGGACUUUUUGAUUUGUCUCUUACUCUUGGAACUCUCAAAGCCUACAUAUUUUAACAUCUUAAAAUUGCUUUUGUUAUAGGAAUGGAAAUAUAUAUCUAUUGUUAAUGAUGAUUGUUGGCAAGUAAUAGUUAUCUGAUACAUCAAUCAUAUAAAAUGUGUAGACAAGCAACAUCUUUCCUUCCCUAAGGCAAAUGGACUCCUCUAGCUCCUUGUCAAUUAAAUAAGUAGUGGUCAGAGCUAGAGUGCCAUUUUUAUUAUAAGAUAUUUUGACUUUAUAACAUUUCCUUUCAGAUUUCUUUUUUUUUCUCUCCCCCAAAAUGUGUUAUGUGCUUUGGUUCCUUAAUGUGCCAUUCUUCCCCCAAUUACACCAAUCAAAAAUAAUCUGUCAUUGAUAUUAAGUAGUCUUGAUUUUUAAAAAUUGCCAGGGAUGCAUGCCAGAUUAUAAUGUUGAACUUAGAUGAUGUUCAUUUAAAACCCCUUUUAGCUUUUGUUUCUCUCUUUUCUUUUUUUCUUUUUUCAAAAGACAGUCUCUGACUUGAACAAAAUGGUGAUCUGGAUGCUUAUGUAUUUGUCUGCUAAGUCUCUCUGUUGAUAGAGGAAGGAGUUCACUUCUCCCAGUCGCCAGUUCACAAAUAUUUGCUUACAGUUAUCCAACUCAAACCGUUUCUUAGGCCAGAAUUUUUUCUGCAUUUUAGUGGCUAGCUUUUGAAUUUGUGAUUUGCUGUUCCACAAAAAGUCUUCUAAAUAUUUAAAAAGCCUUAAACAUCUAUGAACUUGUUUUCUAAGUUAUUACAGAAUGUAUAAUUUUAUACUCCAUUUGCUAUAUUCCACUUGUAGCAUGGAAGCAGAGGAGAAUGGACAUUGCAUUCCUGUUCUGUAUCAUUUCUACUACAUAAUUCUGCAGAUGGGAAUGAAGAGAAGGGUGGGACUUCAGUACUUAUAUUUUGUAAACAAACAUGAAGACUAUACAGAUGUAGGCCUAUUGAAAAUAAUUGUGUGGGCAAGCUCAUUCAAGCAGCUGGCAUGAGGCAUCAAUAUGCUGGAGAAGCAGGGAAAAUCUUUUUAUUUUUACAACUCAUUGACAUGGCCAAUUAGACAUAAAUUGGGUUCCAUGAUGGAUGUGCACCCUGGAGUGCUUUGAUAAUUCACUAUAUGCAACACUUUUCCAAGACCAAUUCAUUACCUCUGCUGUUUUAUUGUGCAGGAGAGGUAAAAUGUAACAAUUAUUGGAAGCUAAAUUGGAGAUGUAGACUUAUAGCAUUGUACUGAAGAAUAUUGCACACCAUCAACAUUUCCGGGGAAAGAGAUGUGUGUCUGCCUCCAUUUUAAUUAGGAGUGGUUACUAGGACCAGCUAGCUGGCUUUUUUUUUUUUUUUCUUUCAAUAAGCUGUAUAGAACUGGGCAGAAAGGCAUGUGGGUUGGGGAGGGAGAACAUCUUUUGAAGGAUUAUCCCUUUUUUUGGAACAGUGCAAAGUGAAGACUAUAUUAUUUUGUAGGCUAUGCAUUUGGCCCCCAUUUGUUCUUGAUUCUGCAUCAUGCUUCUCCAUAUUGUUUCCUUUGGCUCUUCUUGAAAACAACACUGGAAAUUCUGUAUUAUAUACAAGUGUAAACACAUGCAUAUCAAUAGGUGAAAUAAAUGGACUUUCAGAUAUUCUAACUAGAUUAUCCCCAGUAGAUUAAUGUUGUGAACUAUUCAGAAAAAGUGAAUAAAAUUGUGAUAUAAAAUUGA